rnacentral:ncRNA from 1 species
UCCGGGUCUGUGGUUGCAAGCCGAUGCCAGACGCGGGCAAAGCGGUCCACGUAAACCGGGCAAAGCCCGGCGAGCAUGGCGCGUUCUAGUGGUAAGUCCGACCGCCGGAACUUCGGCGAGAGAGGGCGAGUAGGGCGCAGAAGCGAUGAGCGGACCCUCCUGUCGGCGAGUGUGGGGUCAAAGACCAGGUCAGCCGGGU